GGGUUGUGAGGUUAAGCGACUAAGCGUACACGGUGGAUGCCCUGGCAGUCAGAGGCGAUGAAGGACGUGCUAAUCUGCGAUAAGCGUCGGUAAGGUGAUAUGAACCGUUAUAACCGGCGAUUUCCGAAUGGGGAAACCCAGUGUGAUUCGUCACACUAUCAUUAACUGAAUCCAUAGGUUAAUGAGGCGAACCGGGGGAACUGAAACAUCUAAGUACCCCGAGGAAAAGAAAUCAACCGAGAUUCCCCCAGUAGCGGCGAGCGAACGGGGAGGAGCCCAGAGCCUGAAUCAGUGUGUGUGUUAGUGGAAGCGUCUGGAAAGGCGCGCGAUACAGGGUGACAGCCCCGUACACAAAAAUGCACAUGCUGUGAGCUCGAUGAGUAGGGCGGGACACGUGGUAUCCUGUCUGAAUAUGGGGGGACCAUCCUCCAAGGCUAAAUACUCCUGACUGACCGAUAGUGAACCAGUACCGUGAGGGAAAGGCGAAAAGAACCCCGGCGAGGGGAGUGAAAAAGAACCUGAAACCGUGUACGUACAAGCAGUGGGAGCCCUGAUUUAUCAGGGUGACUGCGUACCUUUUGUAUAAUGGGUCAGCGACUUAUAUUCUGUAGCAAGGUUAACCGAAUAGGGGAGCCGAAGGGAAACCGAGUCUUAACUGGGCGUUAAGUUGCAGGGUAUAGACCCGAAACCCGGUGAUCUAGCCAUGGGCAGGUUGAAGGUUGGGUAACACUAACUGGAGGACCGAACCGACUAAUGUUGAAAAAUUAGCGGAUGACUUGUGGCUGGGGGUGAAAGGCCAAUCAAACCGGGAGAUAGCUGGUUCUCCCCGAAAGCUAUUUAGGUAGCGCCUCGUGAAUUCAUCUCCGGGGGUAGAGCACUGUUUCGGCAAGGGGGUCAUCCCGACUUACCAACCCGAUGCAAACUGCGAAUACCGGAGAAUGUUAUCACGGGAGACACACGGCGGGUGCUAACGUCCGUCGUGAAGAGGGAAACAACCCAGACCGCCAGCUAAGGUCCCAAAGUCAUGGUUAAGUGGGAAACGAUGUGGGAAGGCCCAGACAGCCAGGAUGUUGGCUUAGAAGCAGCCAUCAUUUAAAGAAAGCGUAAUAGCUCACUGGUCGAGUCGGCCUGCGCGGAAGAUGUAACGGGGCUAAACCAUGCACCGAAGCUGCGGCAGCGACACUAUGUGUUGUUGGGUAGGGGAGCGUUCUGUAAGCCUGUGAAGGUGUGCUGUGAGGCAUGCUGGAGGUAUCAGAAGUGCGAAUGCUGACAUAAGUAACGAUAAAGCGGGUGAAAAGCCCGCUCGCCGGAAGACCAAGGGUUCCUGUCCAACGUUAAUCGGGGCAGGGUGAGUCGACCCCUAAGGCGAGGCCGAAAGGCGUAGUCGAUGGGAAACAGGUUAAUAUUCCUGUACUUGGUGUUACUGCGAAGGGGGGACGGAGAAGGCUAUGUUGGCCGGGCGACGGUUGUCCCGGUUUAAGCGUGUAGGCUGGUUUUCCAGGCAAAUCCGGAAAAUCAAGGCUGAGGCGUGAUGACGAGGCACUACGGUGCUGAAGCAACAAAUGCCCUGCUUCCAGGAAAAGCCUCUAAGCAUCAGGUAACAUCAAAUCGUACCCCAAACCGACACAGGUGGUCAGGUAGAGAAUACCAAGGCGCUUGAGAGAACUCGGGUGAAGGAACUAGGCAAAAUGGUGCCGUAACUUCGGGAGAAGGCACGCUGAUAUGUAGGUGAAGUCCCUCGCGGAUGGAGCUGAAAUCAGUCGAAGAUACCAGCUGGCUGCAACUGUUUAUUAAAAACACAGCACUGUGCAAACACGAAAGUGGACGUAUACGGUGUGACGCCUGCCCGGUGCCGGAAGGUUAAUUGAUGGGGUCAGCGCAAGCGAAGCUCUUGAUCGAAGCCCCGGUAAACGGCGGCCGUAACUAUAACGGUCCUAAGGUAGCGAAAUUCCUUGUCGGGUAAGUUCCGACCUGCACGAAUGGCGUAAUGAUGGCCAGGCUGUCUCCACCCGAGACUCAGUGAAAUUGAACUCGCUGUGAAGAUGCAGUGUACCCGCGGCAAGACGGAAAGACCCCGUGAACCUUUACUAUAGCUUGACACUGAACAUUGAGCCUUGAUGUGUAGGAUAGGUGGGAGGCUUAGAAGUGUGGACGCCAGUCUGCAUGGAGCCGACCUUGAAAUACCACCCUUUAAUGUUUGAUGUUCUAACGUGGACCCGUGAUCCGGGUUGCGGACAGUGUCUGGUGGGUAGUUUGACUGGGGCGGUCUCCUCCUAAAGAGUAACGGAGGAGCACGAAGGUUGGCUAAUCCUGGUCGGACAUCAGGAGGUUAGUGCAAUGGCAUAAGCCAGCUUGACUGCGAGCGUGACGGCGCGAGCAGGUGCGAAAGCAGGUCAUAGUGAUCCGGUGGUUCUGAAUGGAAGGGCCAUCGCUCAACGGAUAAAAGGUACUCCGGGGAUAACAGGCUGAUACCGCCCAAGAGUUCAUAUCGACGGCGGUGUUUGGCACCUCGAUGUCGGCUCAUCACAUCCUGGGGCUGAAGUAGGUCCCAAGGGUAUGGCUGUUCGCCAUUUAAAGUGGUACGCGAGCUGGGUUUAGAACGUCGUGAGACAGUUCGGUCCCUAUCUGCCGUGGGCGCUGGAGAACUGAGGGGGGCUGCUCCUAGUACGAGAGGACCGGAGUGGACGCAUCACUGGUGUUCGGGUUGUCAUGCCAAUGGCACUGCCCGGUAGCUAAAUGCGGAAGAGAUAAGUGCUGAAAGCAUCUAAGCACGAAACUUGCCCCGAGAUGAGUUCUCCCUGACCCUUUAAGGGUCCUGAAGGAACGUUGAAGACGACGACGUUGAUAGGCCGGGUGUGUAAGCGCAGCGAUGCGUUGAGCUAACCGGUACUAAUGAACCGUGAGGCUUAACCUUACAACGCCGAAGCUGUU
rnacentral:rRNA from 1 species